AAGAAUCGAGGUGUAAAAGGGUAGAUAGUCUUCGCCCAUUGAAGGAAGAUUGGUAGUGAAAGUUGGUGGGCUCGAGUGAAGAGGAAUCGGGAGUAGAUGUAGGUCACGACGACUGAACUACUAUAAAAUUGGUUUGUUGUCUUUUACUUUGCUGUUUACCUUUGCUGAAAAUCAUUUUACUUGCUCACUGUUCUACUUC
rnacentral:lncRNA from 1 species